rnacentral:rRNA from 1 species
CCCGCUGAACUUAAGCAUAUCAAUAAGGCGAGGAACAGAAACCAACAGGGAUUCCCCUAGUAGUGGCGAAUGAAGCGGGAAAAGCUCAAGUUUGAAAUCUGAGACUUGUCUCAGAGUUGUAAGCUGAAGAGGCAAUGACCGACGAGGUCCGGGUCCAAUUUCUUUGGAACAAGAUGUCAUGGAGGGUGAGAACCCCGUCUGUGGCUCGGAUACCUUUGUCCUUGUGUCGUGUCCUCGAAGAGUCGGGUUGUUUGGGAAUGCAGCUCAAAAUGGGUGGUAAAUUUCAUCUAAGGCUAAAUAUUGGCGAGAGACCGAUAGCAAACAAGUAGAGUGAUCGAAAGAUGAAAAGUACUUUGAAAAGAGAGUGAAACAGUACGUGAAAUUGUUGAAAGGGAAACGCUUGAAGUCAGUCGCGUCGUCCGAGACUCAGCCUCGCCUCGGCUUGGUGUACUUCUCGGACGACGGGUCAGCAUCAAUUUUGCCCCUUGGAUAAUGGCGAGGGAAAUGUGACACCUUUGCGGGUGUGUUAUAGUCUCUAGUCGCAUGCAAGGGUCGGGAUUGAGGAACUCAGCACGCGCCUUCGGGCGUCGGGGUUCGCCCACGAUACGUGCUUAGGAUGUUGGCGUAAUGGCUUUAAACGACCCGUCUUGAAACACGG